UGGGGAAUAUUGGACAAUGGGCGCAAGCCUGAUCCAGCCAUGCCGCGUGAGUGAUGACGGCCUUAGGGUUGUAAAGCUCUUUCACCCACGACGAUAAUGACGGUAGUGGGAGAAGAAGCCCCGGCUAACUUCGUGCCAGCAGCCGCGGUAAUACGAAGGGGGCUAGCGUUGUUCGGAAUCACUGGGCGUAAAGCGUACGUAGGCGGAUCGUUAAGUCAGAGGUGAAAUCCCGGAGCUCAACUUCGGAAUUGCCUUUGAUACUGGCGAUCUUGAGUUCGGGAGAGGUGAGUGGAACUGCUAGUGUAGAGGUGAAAUUCGUAGAUAUUAGCAAGAACACCAGUGGCGAAGGCGGCUCACUGGCCCGAUACUGACGCUGAGGUACGAAAGCGUGGGGAGCAAACA
rnacentral:rRNA from 1 species